UAGUCUACGCCGUAAACGAUGGUCACUAGCUGUUCGGAACUUGUUUCUGAGUGGCUAAGCGAAAGUGAUAAGUGACCCACCUGGGGAGUACGUUCGCAAGAAUGAAACUCAAAGGAAUUGACGGGGGCCCGCACAAGCGGUGGAGCAUGUGGUUUAAUUCGAUGAUACGCGAGGAACCUUACCAGGGCUUAAAUGUAGAUUGACAGGUUUAGAGAUAGACUUUCCUUCGGGCAAUUUACAAGGUGCUGCAUGGUUGUCGUCAGCUCGUGCCGUGAGGUGUCAGGUUAAGUCCUAUAACGAGCGCAACCCCUGUUGUUAGUUGCCAGCGAGUCAAGUCGGGAACUCUAACAAGACUGCCAGUGCAAACUGUGAGGAAGGUGGGGAUGACGUCAAAUCAUCACGGGCCCUUACGUCCUGGGGCUACACACGUGCUACAAUGGCGAGUACAGAGGGGCUGCAAACCAGCAAUGGGCCAGGCCAAUCCCUU
rnacentral:rRNA from 1 species